AUUGAACGCUGGCAGCAGGCCUAACCCAUGCAAGUCGAACGAGUGGCGGACGGGUGAGUAAUGCCUGGGAAACUGCCCGAUGGAGGGGGAUACCUACUGGAAACGGUAGCUAAUACCGCAUACCAUCGGAUGUGCCCAGAUGGGAUUAGCUAGGAGGGGGGGUAACGGCUCAACUAGGCGACGAUCCCUAGCGGGUCUGCGAGGAUGACCGGCCAAACGGGAACUGGGACACGGUCCAGACUCCUACGGGAGGCAGCAGUGGGGAAUAUUGCACAAUGGGCGCAAGCCUGAUGCAGCAAGGCCGCGUGUAUGAAGAAGGCCUUCGGGUUGUAAAGUACUUUCAGCGGGGAGGCGUUACUCGCAGAAGAAGCAUCGGCUAACUCCGUGCCAGCAGCCGCGGUAAUAC
rnacentral:rRNA from 1 species